rnacentral:rRNA from 1 species
UACGUAGGGUGCAAGCGUUGUCCGGAAUUAUUGGGCGUAAAGCGCACGUAGGCGGCAUUGCAAGUCGGAUGUGAAAUCCCUCGGCUUAACCAAGGAAGUGCAUCCGAAACUGCAGUGCUUGAGUACUUAAGAGGAUCGCGGAAUUCCCGGUGUAGAGGUGAAAUUCGUAGAUAUCGGGAGGAACACCAGUGGCGAAGGCGGCGAUCUGGGCUGACACUGACGCUCAUGCACGAAAGCGUGGGGAGCAAACAGG